AGCGGAGCGUGUGGUUUAAUUCGUUGCUACACGAAGAACCUUACCUGGGUUUGACAUAUAGGUUGUAGGGAACUGAAAAGGGACCGACCCUUCGGGGAGCCUAUACAGGUGUUGCAUGGCUGUCGUCAGCUCGUGUCGUGAGAUGUUCGGUUAAGUCCGCUAACGAGCGCAACCCUCGUCGUAUGUUAUAUGUGUCAUACGAGACUGCCGGUAAAAGCCGGAGGAAGGUGAGGAUGAUGUCAAGUCAGCAUGACCUUUAUAUCCAGGGCUACACACACGCUACAAUGGUCUGUACAAUGGGUAGCCAAGCCGCGAGGCGGAGCCAAUCCUGAAAGCAGGCCUCAGUUCAGAUUGCAGUCUGCAACUCGACUGCAUGAAGCCGGAGUUGCUAGUAACCGCAGGUCAGCAAUACUGCGGUGAAUACGUUCCCGGGUCUU
rnacentral:rRNA from 1 species